AGGAUCUGCAUCUUACUGUCGCACUCCAUCACCUGCUGCAACAAGUGGAACAACAGAGCGAAGAUGGACUCCACAUACUGGAGAGAGGAGAGAUCGGGCCCCGUUUCACUUUGGAAGAGCGCUUUAUUCCCUGUUUGAAAGCAGUGAGUGGAGAACAUUCCCACCAGAACUACAAAGACACACUACAGUAACCACAUUAAGAUCUGCUCACUUCAUCCUGGUCUGCAUCUGGAUCGUGUCCUCUUCGAUUCGAGGCGACUCUGUGCAGCUCAGGAUGUUUCUCAUCAAUGGGAGCUUUGAGGAUGGAUUUGGACUGUAGUUAACAUCAACAGUGA